GGGCUGGGGCACUACUCCUUGUCUAGUCUAGACCUCCGAGGAGAGCAGAGCGGGGGGGGGGGAGUGGGAGCAGAGACUCCCGAGGUGCGGCCGGCCGGCCCGCCGGGCUGGAAGCAGACGGCGGCCGCGGCCGGUACCAUUAGAUAGCUGCAUGCAGGAACAGGCCGAGGGAGACGAGAGGUACAUGCGCGGCCGGGAAAGAAGGGGUUCGCAAGCAGGAACGUUGACUGAAGGGGCCGGACGUACGGAGCGGAGCGGAGCGGAGCGGAGCGGAGUUUGAGAACAGCCAAACCUAGCUAGCAAAGUUCCUCCGAAUUAGGUAGUUAAUAGGGGUGGUACUUGGCACUUGGCCGGCCGGCAAAGUACAGCGUGGCGGCGGCGCGAGAGUAGGUGGACGGCCGCUUGCGGUUGUCUACGUCGGGACGACCAGUCUAGGCGACCGGCGGUUGUCCGCCAUAAAGAACGGCCGGGCGCUCUCCGAGGACAGGAAGGAGGCCAGUCCGUCCGCCAAUUAGAUAGGAGAGUAGAGGGUACCUGGCACUUGGCCGGUCGGCAAGGGAGAACAUGCACCAAUUAGCCAGUUGUUGUGGUUGGUUCCCAGUUCUAUUCGUCGCAGCUAGGGAGCAGCUUUGCACGAGAAAGACGUUGCUCACGUGAGAAUCGUACUCAACAUACAGAACGCCCCUGAGGUGGACGGGGUUUACAACAGAGGGUACAGACCUAAUACCAAGACUUUGUUGUUCAACAAACACCUCUGUAGGUAGUUACCACGAUUCAAGAGUAGAUAUCGACGAACGUUGUUCUGGAAGUUAGUUAGGGAUCUUAGGGAGACUAGGUAUGAUCAACAGCCAGUUUGUCUACAUAGAGCUGCAUAAAGUCACGAUCUAUGUAGGCAAACUCACUGUUAAUUAUACCUAGCUUCCCUCAUAUUUUUCCAUCAAUGAGCAGAUAGGGUUGCAUUUACUUGUUUCAGUGAACAGAAGGACGAUGUUAACGAGGAACGUAACAAAAAAGUCCUAGAUUUCUUCAAAAGAAUGAUCUGAACCCCAAUCGGAAUGCUUUGUAGAGCAAGAAUGGAAAACCCACCAGUGUGCUUUCGAGAUAUAGAAAAAAACAACUACAAAGAGAGUAGAUCUAAAUAAGACUAAAAGGUUAGUUGAAGAAGACCGAAUUAAACAAAAAUUGUUGGCCGAACUAAGAAAACAUCUUUUGUUUUUUGUUAAUCUUUUAUAUCAACAUUUCUGAAGUUAAGAGUUCUUGAAUUUACGCUUCUAUUCCACUUCCCGGAAACGAAGAAGAAAACUAACGUGUCCUCGAAUAUUAGCUGAAUUUUUUGUCCAAACCACGACUACACAGGUUUAGGGUACAAAACUACAUUCGAUCUGUAGUAAAAGUUUGUCAGUAAGUACCAUCAUCACUCAUUUCACUGUAAAAUUACAACUUUGACAGGGGACAAUUAAACAUUUCAACCAGAGAGGUAGAUAUAGGUUUAUUGAAUCGAUCCUCCAUCCUAGUUUGCUAAUUGGAAAAGUAGUUUAAUCUUAAUCUUCUUGAUUUACCAGUUAUGGUACCGACUUUAAGAAUUAGUACUCGAAUUACAAUACCUAUAAAAUUUACACCGAGUUAGGGUUUUUAUUAGAUUCUCAAAUUACGACUGGUGUUCGUAGUAAAUCUUUCAAGAAAUAUAAAUAUAAAAAAAACGAUGUUGAAAAUAUAAACAUGUACGGUACAUGGUAGUUAAAAAGGAGAUUAAUAUGAUAAAAGAUUACAACAUACAUAAUAUCAUAAAAACAUCACGAUGAUAAGUAGUGGGUCCCACAUCUUAUUCAAUAAGAAGUGGGCUCCAUUAGAAUGAUAGCGAAGGAUUUAUUUAAUGCAAACUUUAAGUUUUUCAAUGUAAGAAUAACUAAGUGAUGCAGUUUAAACCGUAUUCUUUUAUUUUUACAUCCAGUAUUCUGUUAAAAAAAACAUCAAAUACAUAUAAAAUGAGAUACAAAAAUGCAAACAUUUAAAUGUAUUGUAUUUUAUAAAAAAUCACGAUGAUAAGUAGUGGGUCCCACGUCUUAUUCAAUAAGAAGUGGGCUCCAUUAGAAUGAUAGCAAAGGAUUUAUUUAAUGCAAACUUUAAGUUUUUCAAUGUAAGAAUAACUAAGUGAUGCAGUUUAAACCGUAUUCUUUUAUUUUUACAUCCAGUAUUCUGUUAAAAAAAACAUCAAAUACAUAUAAAAUGAGAUACAAAAAUGCAAACAUUUAAAUGUAUUGUAUUUUAUAAAAAAUACCACUGAUAUACAAAAGAAUGUCAGAGAAAAAUGUAGUCUUUAUUCUUUUUUUAAUGCCUUGUAUUUUAAUGCAACGUAACUACCAUUUUAUCUCCCCCCACUUCUUAUUGAUAAGGAGUGGGUCCCACUGCUUAUCAGUUAGGGAUAUAUAUAUAAGUAUGGGUUUCAAUUACAAACAUCGAUGUGGUGUUUGGUAAGUGAAAAGUCAUCCAAAGUAGAGACUGAAUAACAGUACAGGUCAACAACUUCUUAUGAGGGAGGGAAGGUUUUAAAUCACGUAUAUUCUAAAAAGGCUCAAGUUUGUGUAGAUACAAACUGGUUCAAAUAUGCUUUUUGACACCUGUAAAUAUUAUGUUUUAUUUAACUUGUAUUUUCAUGUAAAGUAUUAACGCAGGGGGGAAGGGGGAGAAACAGUGUACUACUUCAUGAUAUGGUGAAAAAAGUACAACAACAUAAAUAGAAAACAACGUGGGAUAUAUAGUGAAACUGAUCCUUAUGAUAACAUAAAUAAGUACAAAAUUUUGAUUAACAAACUUAAGAUAUUAAAACAAAGAAAAUAUGUAUUAAUUAGUAGUUUUAAUGUAUAGUUUCUAACAUGACUUGAACCAACAGAAAAUAAGGCUGAAAUCCAUGUCCAGAGAACCUCGAAGUAACCGAAGCUGAAACAGAUAACAGGCAAUGCGGUUACACUAACCUUGUAGAAGGACCACUAACCAAUGCUCAUUACAACCCAUAAUGUAUAAAACCAAGAGCUACAACUGUGCCUUCUCACAAAAAUCGUGCUAUCUACUUUUUAUGAAACCUUAUGGGCCGUUCUUUGUACGGUGUGUACUACCUCUUAAUGGUCAUUUUGGGAACCUAGUAGUCCCGUUACUCCGACUUUCGUGUUUGGGUUUCACAGGUCGGUUUACCCAGUGCCGGGCACGUGGGAAGGGAAUGUUUUCGAACGGGAUUAGGCGACCAUAUAUUCAUAAGAAAGCCACACGCACGUCGUAGGUGGGCGUCAGAGGGAAAGUUAGGUUUAGGCGGCGGCGGCGAGAGGCGACUGGUACCUCGCGGUCGGUUUGGCCGCGGCGCCGGCGCGGGGGGUCGUCCAGGUGCCGCUGCCGGGGGAAGGGGUCCCGCCUCCGGGGGAAGGGGUCGUCCAGGUCCCGCAACAGGGGCAGCGUGUCGUCCACGGCGGUUUGUGUCAGGGUCCCCUCAACGUUAAGUUCCGGAUACUCAAGUACUUCAAACUCGGCUUUAUGGACUUCGACGGUUCCGCACGCGGUCGUCACCUCUCAUGGUCCAAAGAAAAAGUAUCUCUGUGCCUGUCCUGACCUUCGUGACAACCACUAGAAUAUUUUUCCUUCCGCAUGUUAUCCCGACUCUUCGACCCUCUGUUCUCCUCCGUCAUGGACGUCCAGGAAGGUCUCUGGUUCCUGUUACUUCUUAAUGACUUCUUUGAACUGUUGCUUGACCGUCCCGACGACGUAUCGGACCUGUCGCGAUAACGUCUCGAGCUACGGCAGCAGGGGCCGUUAAAACGCGCGGGGUUGGUGAAGUCGUUCGGAGGUCGGGACUUGUUCAUCCGACAACCCAAAACGUUUUGAAAUCCUGUCGAAUACCUAUUAUAAAACAUUACGUUGCAUUAGCCAAGGUUACUACGAACAAGACUCUCAUCGAGAUCAGGUAAACUUUUGAUCGGUCCUAUACACUACGUCUACAAUAAAGAGAGUCCUAUACACUAGAUAAGGAGAGUCUACUAGUUAAACAAAAUAGGUUACUUUCUGUCUUGUUACGAUGUGAGUGAACAAAUGAUCAUCGUGGUGUAUAGAUAGAUGAACGUUCGAACCACAUGUUAUUAAACGUAUAGUUGCGAGAGUAAACGUAAGGAACAUUACUUUUA
rnacentral:rRNA from 1 species